GGCCAUGGCUCAGUGGAAGAGCAUCUGCUUUGCAUGCAGAAGGUCCCAGGUUCAAUCCCUGGCAUCUCCA